rnacentral:rRNA from 1 species
UACGUAGGGUGCAAGCGUUAAUCGGAAUUACUGGGCGUAAAGCGUGCGCAGGCGGCUUUGCAAGACAGAUGUGAAAUCCCCGGGCUCAACCUGGGAACUGCAUUUGUGACUGCAUGGCUAGAGUGCGGCAGAGGGGGAUGGAAUUCCGCGUGUAGCAGUGAAAUGCGUAGAUAUGCGGAGGAACACCGAUGGCGAAGGCAAUCCCCUGGGCCUGCACUGACGCUCAUGCACGAAAGCGUGGGGAGUAAACAGG